GGGAUAGCUAUGGGAUAGCUACCCACAGUGCAACGCUCCGGAAAUCGAUGCUAACCUCGGACUGAAAAAAAAUCAGUUGAUGUAUCUUGAAAGGGACACGGUUAAGCUCUCAAGACUGUUCUGCCAAAGCACAGAGGAAUCAGCUCUACACAGAAUAGCACCAGGAUCAGCGAGAAGCAAAG